CCUACGGGCGGCAGCAGUGGGGAAUAUUGCACAAUGGGGGAAACCCUGAUGCAGCGACGCCGCGUGAGUGAAGAAGUAUCUCGGUAUGUAAAGCUCUAUCAGCAGGGGAGCAGCAAGACGGUACCUGACUAAGAAGCCCCGGCUAACUACGUGCCAGCAGCCGCGGUAAUACGUCGGGGGCACGCGUGAUCCGGAUUUACUGGGUGUAAUGGGAGUGUAGACGGUAUGGUAAGUCUGAAGUGAAAGCCCAGGGCUUAACCCCGGGACUGCUUUGGAAACUGUUGGACUAGAGUGCUGGAGAGGUAAGUGGAAUGCGUAGUGUAGCGGUGAAAUGCGUAGAUAUUAGGAGGAACACCAGUGGCGAAGGCGGCUUACUGGACAGUAACUGACGUUGAGGCUCGAAAGUGUGGGUAUCAAACAGGAUUAGAUACCCGUGUAGUC
rnacentral:rRNA from 1 species